rnacentral:rRNA from 1 species
UAUGAAAGUUGUAAUUUAAACUCAAAGAACUUGGCGGUGUUUUAGACCAUUUAGGGGAACCUGUCUCAUAAUCGACAAUCCACGUUGUACCUGACCCUUUUUUGUUUUUCAGUUUGUAUACCGUUGUCGUCAGGUAACUUUUUAGAAAAUAGAAGUUGGCCGGAAAAAUAAGGAUGAUUUAAUACGUCAAAUCAAGGUGCAGCUAAUAAAAGGGGGAGGAUGGGUUACAGUUAUAUAUUUAUAAAUACGGAUGUCGCGUGUAAGUGUGAUUUGUGAAGGCGGACUUAAAAGUAAAUUAGGUUAUAAGAAUAAUUUGAAUAAGGCCCUGAAACGUGU